CGAGUGGAGGAGGCGGGGCCGGAACGCGAUUCGGGGACCGGGGGCGGGGCCAGGCUUCGCGGGUGUGGCUGGGAGGGAAGGCGGGGCCAGGCCUUUGCGGGUGUGGCUGGGAGGGGUAGGCGGAGCCAGGCCUCCCGGGUUGGCUGGGAGAGGAGGCGGGGCCAGGCUGCGGGGUGGAGCCGGCGGAGGCGGGGCCAGGCUGCGGGGUGGAGCCGGGCGGAGGCGGGGCCAGGCUGCGGGGUGGAGCCGGGCGGAGGCGGCGGGGUCCGAGCGGGAGGCUGAGGGAGGGGUGGUCCCAGCCGCGGGGAGGCCAGGGCUGGGUACCGGCCUCGUCGGGACAGAAGCCCAGAGCGCCCCGAGCGGGCUCAGGUCUGCCCGGAGCCUCCUUCCUAACACCCGGAAGUGCUCUCGGGGCCGGGGCUGUCGCGCCGCUGUCCCCCCACAGAGUUGCGCGUGUGGGGAGGGGCUCAGCGAGGUCAGCCGCACCCCGUCUCCGGGCUGCCCUCCGCGUUCUACGUUGCUUUAAAGUUUAUUUGAGAGGCAGAGAGGGAGAGACAGAGAGAGAGAGAGAGAGAGAGAGGUCUUCUAUCCCUGGUUCACUCCUCAAUUGGCCACAACAGCCGGAGCUGCGCCCAUCCGGGCCGGGAGCCAGGAGCUUCCUCUGGGUCUCCCACACAGGGGUCGGGGGCCAAGGCCUUGGGCCAUCUUCUACUGCCUUCCCAGGCCACAGCAGAGAGCUGGAUCGGAAGUGGAGCAGCCGGGACUCGAACCGGCUCCUAUAAGGCACGGCUCCACAAUGCCAGCCACUUUCUGUUAAGCCCCGACUUGGAGUGGCCGUGGGGGCUCGGUGGGUUAGGCUGCUGCGUGGGCGUCCAGCAUCCCUUACGGGAACGUGGGUUUGAGUCCCAGCUGCUCCGCCUCCCACCCAGCUCCCUGCUAGUGGGCCUGGGAGAAAGGCAGAUGAUGGCCAAGUCCUUGGGCCCCUGACCCCCGUGUGGGAGACCUGGAUGGUGUUCCCGGCCUUGGCCCAGCCCUUUGUGGCCAUUUGGGGAGCCAGCAGAUGCAAGAUCUCCCUCUCUCGUCUCCGUCUCUGUCACUCUGCCUUUCAGAGAAAGAAAGACAUGUUGAAAGCCCUGCGUCGUGGAGGUGGAAGCGUGCAGUCUGUCUGCUGACGUCACUGGGCAGGUGCCCCAGGCCCGUCCAUAGGGGGGCCGGUGUCUGCGUCUCCCUCCUUUCAUAGCGGAAUAGGGCUAUGUCGCACUGGACGGCUCCGUGACCUCUCCAUUGGCAGAAGGAGGCCCUCGGCUUUCUCCUUACCUCACGGCUGCAGCAGCACCCUUAGGGAAUCUUGGCAAGUGCUCUCGAUCUGCUGGGGGAAAUCUGCCUUCUGAAACCGGUAAAAGAGGAACCCUCACUCGGCUACUCGCCGUCUCUGCCCCAAGUCUGCCGCCGGCCGACAGGUGCACCGGCCCCUGCAACACUGACAGGUGCGUGUUCUCGGAGCAGCUGCCACUGCCGUCUGCACAGGCACAGAGACACCAGCGUCCUGGCUCCUGGCUGUGCCUGGCCCACGCCCGGAUGUUGUCGGUGUUUGGGGAAGGAACCAGUGACUGGAAGAUCUCUCCAUCACUCUGCCUUUCAGAUAGGGGCGGAGUUUCCGGAAGAGCCGGGGUCCUGGUGUCUGACCCCACUGGGUCACUGGAGCUCCUCUCAGCGGCCACCGCACAGCCUGGCAGAGGACGCACUUCCCACAGAAGCCUGGAGGGAGUCUCCCUCGCACUGUCCUGGCUGUUGACAGUCCUCCGGAAGCUGCUAAUCUGGGGGCGGCCCCGGGUCAUUCUAGGAGGGCAAUGAUGAUAACAGGUCUCCUACAGCACCAGGGACACAGUAACACAGAAAGCAAAACGUGCAGCUAAAUGCAACAGCCCUCUCUCUCCCUCCAGUCCUUCACAGGAUGUUUGGUGGCUGAAGAAAAGUUACACCACAUCUGACCUGGCUCUAAAUGUAUCUAGAAAAAUUUAUGGAAACUGUCCAGUAAGUGUGUUGCAGAAAGCAAUGGAGACUGCCGUAGCUUGGCAGUUAGGGUGCUCUUCUCCCAUGAUCGAACAGGGAUGCAGGCACUGCAGGCGGCGGCUUUAACCACUACGCCACAGCGCCGGCCCCUGGGCAGUUGAUUUGUAUAUUUGGGCGGAGCUGGGGAGCCCACAUCUGCUUUGGGACUUUCCCACGCUCUGGGACGACCCCCACAAAAUGGAGCAGGGUAACAGGAUGCAAAGGGAGCCAAGGUUCCUACACAUCACUUGGUAAAAUGAAGUAUCAGCAGACUGUGGUAAGCUCUGCAUGUGUAGUACCUGGAGCACCACCAGAUCCAGUAUUAAGCUCUUCCAAGCUGUUUGGUGCAGGGCCGCCGACGCCCACAUCCCUGUCAGACUGCCUGGAUUUGAGUCCCGGAUUUCUGGGAGGCAGCAGGUGGUGGCUCAAGUACUUGGGUCCCUGCCACCCACCUCGGAGACCUGGACGGAGCUCCUGGCUCCUGGUUCAGCCUGGCCAGUCUUGGCGGUUGCAGCCAUCUGGGGAGUGAGCUAGCUAGUGGAAGCUUGUCCUGUCACUCUGCCUUUCAAAUAAAUAAAUAAAUA